UAGAUGUCAAACGAGGAAGCUAUUGAAACUGCAAGGCAGCUUGCAUUGAAAGAAGGUUUGCUGGUCGGGAUAUCAUCUGGUUGUGCCGCGGCUGCUGCAAUUAGGAUUGCAAAAAGACCAGAAAAUGCUG